UACAUGCAAGUCGAGGGGCAGCAUUUACUUCGGUAAAUGGCGACCGGCGCACGGGUGAGUAACGCGUAUGCAACCUACCUUUAACUGGGGCAUAGCUCGAGGAAACUCGAAUUAAUUCCCCAUAGUACAUUAUAAUAUCUCAUGAUAUAAAUGUUAAAGAUUUAUCGGUUAAAGAUGGGCAUGCGUCUGAUUAGUUUGUUGGUAAGGUAACGGCUUACCAAGACUACGAUCAGUAGGGGGUCUGAGAGGAUGAUCCCCCACACUGGUACUGAGACACGGACCAGACAUCUACGGAUGGCAGCAGUAAGGAAUAUUGGGCAAUGGGCGCAAGCCUGACCCAGCCAUGCCGCGUGCAGGAUGACGACCCUAUGGGUUGUAAACUGCUUUUAUAUAGGAAGAAAAUACUCUUGCGAGAGGAUCUGACGGUACUAUAUGAAUAAGCAUCGGCUAACUCCGUGCCAGCAGCCGCGGUAAGACGGGGGAUGCAAGCGUUAUUCGGAAUUAUUGGGCGUAAAGCGUCUGUAGGUGGUAAGGAAAGUGUAAUGUUAAAGAUCAGGGCUCAACCCUGGGAAGGCAUUGCAAACUAUCUUACUUGAGUUCGGUAGGGGCAGAGAGAAUUCCCAGUGUAGCGGUGAAAUGCGUAGAUAUUGGGAGGAAGACCGGUGGCGAAGGCGUUCUGCUGGGCCGUAACUGACACUCAGAGACGAAAGCUAAGGUAGCAAAUAGGAUUAGAUACCCUAGUAGUCUUAGCUGUAAACGAUGCACACUAUGUUUUGCAAUUUGCAGAGCAAUAGCUAACGCGUUAAGUGUGCCGCCUGGGGAGUACAUUCGCAAGGAUGAAACUCAAAGGAAUUGACGGGGACCCGCACAAGCGGUGGAGCAUGUGAUUUAAUUCGAUGCAACGCGAAGAACCUUACCAAGAAUUGACAUGCUGCGAACGUUUACGAAAGUAAAAGUCUAUUACUUAGUAUAGCGCAGACACAGGUGUGCAUGUGUCGUCAGCUCGUGCGUGAGUGUAGUAGGUCUGCACGAGCGCACCCUUGUCUUAGUAUAUCUAGAGAGACUGCGGUGAUAACCGGAGAGGGUGAAGAAGAACGUCAAACAGCAUGGGC
rnacentral:rRNA from 1 species